CAAGCCCCACUCCCUUUGGAAUAUGCUAGGGGCUCAAGUGGUGUGAAUGUCCCCAACCUCCAGGCUGCUGGUUUAGUUGUAUGAGAUACUCUCAUUGCGUACAGUGCCCAUAUCCUUACAGUUAAAGCCUGUUUAAGACAACCCUGCCUUUCCUGCCAUAACCUCACACUGACUAGAGACACACGCAAAUGGGCAGGCAUGCGUGCCCCCCACCCUGCCAAACAGUGCAUGAUUGCAUUGGGACUCAAGAGCAAACCUCAGCUCCCUGGUUGUAGCCAUGUGCCAGGCACUGGCGCUAGUGAAGACAGAAAAGUCUUUUGAAGUGCUGUAGAUUUAAACCAGGGAAUCAGUUAACAUCUCCCCAAGCAGCCAGUAGUGGGAACAAGAAGU
rnacentral:lncRNA from 1 species